UACGAAGGGGGCUAGCGUUGCUCGGAAUUACUGGGCGUAAAGGGCGCGUAGGCGGACAGUUUAGUCGGGGGUGAAAGCCCGGGGCUCAACCUCGGAAUUGCCUUCGAUACUGGCUGUCUUGAGUACGGGAGAGGUGUGUGGAACUCGAGUGUAGAGGUGAAAUUCGUAGAUAUUCGGAAGAACACCAGUGGCGAAGGCGACACACUGGCCCGUUACUGACGCUGAGGCGCGAAAGCGUGGGGAGCAAACAGG
rnacentral:rRNA from 1 species